AAAGGUCUUUGUUGCUGUUGCUGCCAUGUUAAUGACCCAGCUUGGGGCGCUGCCGCCGCCGCCGGCCGCUUCUUCCAAAGAAAACAAAUCAAAGAUGUAGCAGUCUCUUGAGCACAGUGAGAUGGCUCACCAUACGGGGAGAAGCGGCAAGCUAUCAACUUUGGAUCUUUUCUGGAGACACUGAAAUUGGUUCCAAAUUCUAAAUUGUCUAAACUCUAAAUUCUUUUCGAGGUCAUACAAUGGAUUCAAAGUCUAUAUCCAUAAGAAAUACUGCAUCAAUCAGAGCACAUAACUAAAAAUUAUGUGUUAAAUGUGGUUAAAUUAAAUAAAGCUUUGAGCUUGAAUUAGGAAUGUGGGGGAAAAUGGAGAUUUGGAGAAGAAUUUCAGGCUUUUGUUUGCUGAAUCACUAGGGAGAAGCAACGUCACAUACGUUACAUUUCAGGUUUUCAGAAAACUGUGACGACUAUUGGAAUCAGAGAGCAAAGUUGGAAGUUAAACACAGUGAUAACUUCAUAUUCAUUUUCUAGUUCUCUUACCCACAUUUUCCACAUAUAACUUUUAUCCAACACAUUCCCUGUGUGGGAGAGAGUGAGCCCCAUCACGUUGAUCCCUGGACCAGGUGGGACUGGGCUAGUGGGGAAGGAGAUGGGGGAAGGGGUCUGGGGAGGAGUGGGUGUAGACAGGCGCCAGGAGAAGACUGUGGUUUUAGGGUAUUUGUUUGUUUGUUUAAUUAGUUGUUAGACUGGAUUUAGUUUCUCUCCCCAGAAAAGAUACAGAUUUGAGAUGAAUUUUAGAUGUUUUUAGAACAGAAAUUCUACUCAGUUGAAUUUCUGUUUUUGCCAUAGCCAUGCAAUCGAGCUGGAGGAAAUGAAAGCACAAGUAACUCCCACCAGAAUGAAAACCUUUUUGUUUCUUCCAUGUCACAGAGCCUUCAUUCUGUUUCUGAGGAAGAAAUAGUAUCCUGAAGGAUUCCAGAAAAGUUGGACAAUUAGACAAAUAUUUUUGCUCACACAGCAUGCCAUUUGGUACCAAAAUUACAUCCUCUUUGUAAAAAAAGGAACAAAAAACGUAACCCUUCUCCUGAGAUAGAAUUAUAAUUG
rnacentral:lncRNA from 1 species